GUGAGGAAUAUUGAGCAAUGGGCGCAAGCCUGACUCAGCAACGCCGCGUGGAUGACGAAGGCCUUCGGGUUGUAAAAUCCUUUUCUGAGGGAAGAUGAUGACGGUACCUCAGGAAUAAGUUCCGGCUAACUACGUGCCAGCAGCCGCGGUAAAACGUAGGGGACAAGCGUUAUCCGGAUUUACUGGGCGUAAAGCGCAUGUAGGUGGCUUGAAAAGUUGGACGUGAAAGCUCCCGGCUUAACUGGGAGAGGUCGUACAAAACUAGCAAGCUAGAGGUUGGAAGAGGAGAGCGGAAUUCCCGGUGUAGUGGUGGAAUGCGUAGAUAUCGGGAGGAACACCAGUGGCGAAAGCGGCUCUCUGGUUCAAAACUGACACUGAGAUGCGAAAGCGUGGGGAGCGAACGGGAUUAGAUACCCCGGUAGUCC
rnacentral:rRNA from 1 species